GGGAAGGUGGAAAGAAUGAACAGAACUAUAAAGACCCAGUUGGCAAAAAUGUGUCAAGAGGCCCAGCUUAAGUGGAAUGUUCUUUUGCCAAUAGCUCUGUUGCGCAUACGCAGUACUCCUACCAGGAGAACGGGUCUGUCUCCUUUUGAAAUUAUGUAUGGACGUUCACCUCCUAUACUCAGUAAUCUAAGGGGGAAUUUGAGUCAGUUGGGUGAAGGAAUUACAGCAGGUUGUAGAGUUGGGUAGAACUAUG